rnacentral:tRNA from 1 species
AUGUAGCUCAGUGGUAGAGCACUUGCCUAGCAUGUUUGAAGCCCUGGGUUCAGUCCCCAGUAU